rnacentral:tRNA from 1 species
GCCGCCAUGGUGAAAUCGGUAGACACC